rnacentral:rRNA from 1 species
UACAGGGGGUGCAAACGUUGCUCGGAAUCAUUGGGCGUAAAGCGCACGUAGGCGGUCUGUUAUGUCGGAUGUGAAAGCCCUUGGCUCAACUGAGGAAAGUGCAUCCGAAACUGGCAGGCUAGAGUACUAAAGAGGAUCGCGGAAUUCCCGGUGUAGAGGUGAAAUUCGUAGAUAUCGGGAGGAACACCGGUGGCGAAGGCGGCGAUCUGGGUAGAUACUGACGCUGAGGUGCGAAAGCGUGGGGAGCAAACAGG